UAUUUGACGUUACCUACAGAAGAAGCACCGGCUAACUCCGUGCCAGCAGCCGCGGUAAUACGGAGGGUGCGAGCGUUAAUCGGAAUUACUGGGCGUAAAGCGCAUGCAGGCGGCCUGUUAAGUCAGAUGUGAAAGCCCCGGGGCUUAAACCUCGGAAUUGCAUUUGAAACUGGCAGGCUAGAGUCUUGUAGAGGGGGUAGAAUUUCAGGUGUAGCGGUGAAAUGCGUAGAGAUCUGAAGGAAUACCAGUGGCGAAGGCGGCCCCCUGGACAAAGACUGACGCUCAGAUGCGAAAGCGUGGGGAGCAAACAGGAUUAGAUACCCUGGUAG
rnacentral:rRNA from 1 species